rnacentral:lncRNA from 1 species
GCCUGCUGCGGUCCUGGCAAGCACCUCGGGAUCUCAUUCCUUCACAGGGGCCCUAGCCGGGCAAGCGCGCGCCUCACUGUACCGGAGAGCUCCAAGCACGCGCUUGGUCUGGGGUCCGGACGCUAGAUCUCGGAAGGGUUAAAGCUGAUACAUUCCUGUGGGUCAACUAUGCAACUAACUCAGAUUUUGAGCAAACAAAGCUCUCAAGUUGGUGAUCCUCAGGAGUCUCUGCAUUAGUUGGACAGCUCUUCUGGAAUUAUCUUCUAAGUCAACUGUGGGUUGGGUAGGUGGCUCUGCUGAUUUUUUGCUGGACUUCCACAUUUGGGACCAGUUGGCUGUCAUCAGCUCUAGAAAGGGUGUGGCUGUUUUACAUUGGCUGUUUUCCUCACAUUCCUCAAGCAGGUACUGUAAUAAAGAACUGGAGAAAUAAAGUCAGAUGGGAAGUAGCCCCUGCUGUCAAGGAGCUUGCCAUCUAAUGGGGGAGACAGGCAAGUAAACCAAAGACUACACAGUGCAGUAUGGUAAGUGCCAUGAUUUUGAUAUGACAGGGCACAGUGGAAGACCUUCCAAAUCAAAGCAAGUAAGUAAGGGUUGACAAUGGUAAGUAUCAUAGUUGAAGUAUCCUUGAACAAGGUUUCAGGAAGAAGAAUAAGGGAAUUUCAUGCAGGGAAACAGCCAAAGCUCAGUGAGUCAAAAUAUCACAGCAUUCUUGGUAAGCCCAAUUUUUUUUUCUGUUUUGCUAUUUUGG